UAAAAACAAUUGCAGUUCUUAAACAUUGUUCGGUCCUUGCGGUGAGUCAUACCUCUCAUUUGAAACCACCCAUAGAUCGCUCCGUCUUGGGAUCAUUAUAUGUCUCUUCCUNNNNAUACUCUAUCCCUCUCCCACAACAGCCCGACGACGACCUCCUUCUUCUCCCUCCCAUAUCGUUCCACCACAUGCAGCGUCUGCAAUGUUACUUCAAAGACACUUUUUUCAGUCGCACAUUGUAAGUUAAGAUAUCAUAGGUUGUUUUGCAUCAGAAAGAAGCCUAACCAGAGAUAAUGAUAUUGACAUAUGAAUAAAAUUAAAGUGAAAAGAAAAUGGUUUCACUCAGUCGCAUCAUUAAGGAAUUAUACCUAACAGAUAAGCAGUUCCAAUCACACUAAUGAGUACUGAAUAUUUUAAACUUUUAAAAGAAGCUACCUUAAAUUAACAAAUCAAAUCAUCAACAAAUUCAUAAAAAAUCUGUAAUUUACUUGUCAUCAAUAACAAUAAUAAAGACAUAAAACUCAAGAUAAUAACACCAAAAUUUUCAUCUUAAUAAUAAGACUCAAAUUCACAAUAACUAUUUUAAAUUAGAAAGACAUCACAAUCAGUUCCCUAAACAUAAAGAAUGAACCAUUCUUGACACAGUCAAUGAAAUCAAAAGCCAGUUUUGGUAUUCUCAUAAUCCUAAAAAACAAAAAAAAUUCAAUAAAUAAUUAAAACUCUACAGAAUAAUUAAGUACUACCUUAAGAGUGAUAAAUC
rnacentral:lncRNA from 1 species